CAGCAUUACUCUGUGUGUCUGUUGCUUGCUGAAAGGUACAAGGACUCCACAUUACCCAGUCAUACCUUAAAUCCAGUUGGGCACCAAUCUACAAACUGGAUGGUGCGCUUGGUCUUGAUGGUGGCGAUGGCCGCGUUGACAUCUUUCGGGACCACAUCCCCCCUGUACAACAUGCAGCAGGCAAUGUACUUGCCGUGGCGAGGGUCACACUGACCAUCUGAUUGGCUGGCUCGAAGCAGGCAUUGGUGAUCUCAGCCACGGACAGCUGCUCGUGGUAGGCCUUCUCGGCUGAGAUGACCGGGGCGUAGGUGGCCAGGGGGAAGUGGAUGCGGGGGUACGGCACUAGGUUGGUCUGGAAUUCCGUCAAGUCCACAUUCAGGGCCCCGUCGAAUCGCAGGGAGGCCGUGAUGGAGGACACGAUCUGCCCAAUCAGGCGAUUGAAGUUGGUGUACGUGGGACGCUCGAUGUCCAGGUUGCGCCGACAUAUGUCAUAGAUGGCUUCAUUGUCGACCAUGAAGGCACAGUCAGAAUGUUCCAGGGUCGUGUGGGUGGUCAGGAUGGAGUUGUAGGGCUCCACCACGGCCGUGGAGACCUGGGGGGCUGGGUAAAUGGCAAAUUCUAGCUUGGACUUCUUGCCGUAAUCCACUGAGAGCCGCUCCAUGAGCAGAGAUGCGAACCCAGAGCCAGUGCCGCCCCCAAAGCUGUGGAAGAUGAGGAAGCCCUGCAGUCCCGUGCACAGAUCCGCC
rnacentral:lncRNA from 1 species